CGGGCUGUGGCGCAGCUUGGUAGCGCGCUUCGUUCGGGACGAAGAGGCCGCGAGUUCAAAUCUCGCCAGCCCGACCA
rnacentral:tRNA from 4 species